UUGUCAAGACUGGUCGACGCCAGCGCCACUGCAUCAUUCCACGCUGAAAGCCCGGCUCCCAGGAAGCCGCUCGCACCAUUAGAAAGCCUUCUAGUUCCCUGUAGCAGGUCAAAGGCGGUCUUUGCGCUGCUCGGACUGAUCCCCGGCGUGCUCGGCUGCGUGGAUGGCCCACUCAUCACCGUUCAGCAGCCCCAAGGCCUGAGCUGCGUGGAAACGCAGAGCGACAGGUUGAGGAACGGCUUCUACGCGACGGACGCCGUGAUCGGUCGUUUCGAGAUUCAUGGGCGUGGCAUAUGAACGCUCUCCAUGGGUACUUCAAGGCGAAACUGCAGACUGGUGAAUAUUUGCUUUGAGACUCCGGCUAUGCGCUGGAGCCAUGACUUUUAACACCGGUGCCUGGGCAUCCAGUUGGCGACACCCGCUAGGACCGCUACAAGGAGCACGCUGCCAUGCGCAAUGUUGUGUAAAUGGGCAUCCGGGUCCUAAAGAGCAGGUUCCGCUGCUUGCAGAGUUACAGGACCCUGCUCUACAACACCGACAGAACAGCCACCUUCAUUGCUGCUUGCGUAGCUCUACGCAACGUUUCCUUGGUGGCACGUGAGCGUGUCCUCGAAGAGGACGACGACAGAGAGCUACCGCAAGCUUUCCAGCAGGCUGCAGAUGUGGCCCUGCCACUACCACCGAUACGGGUGCCAGCGGCGCGUGAGUUCUACUUGAGGGGCCAUCGGCAGCGCCAACGCCUGGUUAAGCUUUUUCAAGGUGCACGCAGAGUGCAUGCUGACCACCUCCGGCGGUUGCGCCGCCACCUGCUGAUACCUUUUUGGCUGCAGCCACAGUGUUGUGUCAACUCGUUGGUAUGCAUUUUUUUUUUACAUUUUCGAGAUUGGUGUGAAAAGAAAGCGAAAUAAAUGCUCUCCGUCUGCCGAACUUCACGAA